rnacentral:rRNA from 1 species
AGUGAACGCUGGCGGCAGGCCUUACACAUGCAAGUCGAACGGCAGCACGGGGCAACCUGGUGGCGAGUGGCGAACGGGUGAGUAAUGCAUCGGAACGUACCUUUCAGUGGGGGAUAACGUAGCGAAAGUUACGCUAAUACCGCAUAUUCUGUGAGCAGGAAAGCAGGGGAUCGCAAGACCUUGCGCUGAUUGAGCGGCCGAUGUCAGAUUAGCUAGUUGGUGAGGUAAAGGCUCACCAAGGCGACGAUCUGUAGCGGGUCUGAGAGGAUGAUCCGCCACACUGGAACUGAGACACGGUCCAGACUCCUACGGGAGGCAGCAGUGGGGAAUUUUGGACAAUGGGGGCAACCCUGAUCCAGCCAUGCCGCGUGAGUGAAGAAGGCCUUCGGGUUGUAAAGCUCUUUCGGCCGGGAAGAAAUCGCACGGGCUAAUACCCUGUGUGGAUGACGGUACCGGAAUAAGAAGCACCGGCUAACUACGUGCCAGCCGCCGCCGUAAGAC